rnacentral:rRNA from 1 species
ACUCCUACGGGAGGCAGCAGUGGGGAAUAUUGGACAAUGGGGGCAACCCUGAUCCAGCCAUGCCGCGUGUGUGAAGAAGGCCUUUUGGUUGUAAAGCACUUUAAGCAGUGAAGAAGACUCCAUGGUUAAUACCCAUGGACGAUGACAUUAGCUGCAGAAUAAGCACCGGCUAACUCUGUGUCAGCAGCCGCGGUAAUACAGAGGGUGCAAGCGUUAAUCGGAAUUACUGGGCGUAAAGCGAGCGUAGGUGGCUUGAUAAGUCAGAUGUGAAAGCCCCGGGCUUAACCUGGGAACGGCAUCUGAUACUGUUAGGCUAGAGUAGGUGAGAGGAAGGUAGAAUUCCAGGUGUAGCGGUGAAAUGCGUAGAGAUCUGGAGGAAUACCGAUGGCGAAGGCAGCCUUCUGGCAUCAUACUGACACUGAGGUUCGAAAGCGUGGGUAGCAAACAGGAUUAGAUACCCUGGUAGGCUCUGCU